rnacentral:rRNA from 1 species
CCCUUAGAUGUUCUGGGCCGCACGCGCGCUACACUGACGAAUGCAACGAGCUUAUAACCUUGGCCGAAAGGUCUGGGUAAUCUCCAAAUUUCGUCGUGAUGGGGAUAGAUUAUUGCAAUUAUUAAUCUUCAACGAGGAAUGCCUAGUAAGCGCAAGUCAUCAGCUUGCGUUGAUUACGUCCCUGCCCUUUGUACACACCGCCCGUCGCUCCUACCGAUUGAAUGGUCCGGUGAAGCGCUCGGACCGCGGCCUCUUGACGGUUUUCCGUCGAUUGGCUGUGGGAAGUUCGUUAAACCUUAUCAUUUAGAGGAAGGUGAANUCGUAACA